rnacentral:rRNA from 1 species
UACAGAGGUGCCGAGCGUUGCUCGGAAUCACUGGGCGUAAAGCGCCCGUAGGCGGAUUGCUAAGUCAGGGGUGAAAUCCUGGAGCUUAACUUGGAAACUGCCGUUGAUACUAUCUGCCUUGAAUAUUGUGGAGGUGAGCGGAAUAUGUCAUGUAGCGGUGAAAUGCUUAGAUAUGACAUAGAACACCAAUUGCGAAGGCAGCGCGCUACACAUAUAUUGACUCUGAGGCACGAAAGCGUGGGGAGCAAACAGG